rnacentral:rRNA from 1 species
GACGUAGGGGGCAAGCGUUGUUCGGAAUUAUUGGGCGUAAAGCGCUCGUAGGCGGGACAGGAAGUUCGUGUUGAAAGACCUCGGCUCAACUGAGGGACCGGCUCGAAUACUCUUGUUCUUGAGGCAAUCAGAGGGUGAUGGAAUUCCCGGUGUAGCGGUGAAAUGCGUAGAUAUCGGGAGGACACCAGUGGCGAAGGCGAUCACCUGGGGUUGUUCUGACGCUGAGGAGCGAAAGCUAGGGGAGCAAAGCGGG